rnacentral:rRNA from 1 species
UACAGUGGGUCUCAAGCGUUUGUUCGGGAUUCAUUAGGGCGUAAAGGGUGGUGUAGGGUGGCGCGCUAAGUCGGGUGUGGAAAUUUCGGAACGCUUAACUCCGAAGCUGCAUUCGAUACUGGCGUGCUUGAGGACUGGAGAGGAGACUGGAAUUUACGGUGUAGCAGUGAAAUGCGUAGAUAUCGUAAGGAAGACCAGUGGCGAAGGCGGGUCUCUGGACAGUUCCUGACACUGGAGACACGGAGGCCCAGGGGAGCAAACGGG